rnacentral:rRNA from 1 species
GGGGGGGGGGGGGGGGGGGGCGGGGGCGGGGGGGGCGGGCGGGCAGGCGGGGGGCUUGCGGCUCGGCCGUUGGCGGCGGCCGGGUGCGUGACGCGUGGAUACCCUACCUAUACGACUGGGCUGACUUCGGGAGACCGGAGCUAAUACCGGAUAAUAUAUUGACCCUCAUGGUGCCCUAGUUCACGCCGGUUUUGCUGUCCCUUCUCGAUGGAUCCGCGCCGCAUUAGCUAGUUGGUAAGGUAACGGCGUACCAAGGCAACGCUGCGUAGCCGACCUGAGAGGGUGAUCGGCCACACUGGAACUGAGACACGGUCCAGACUCCUACGGGAGGCAGCAGUAGGGAAUCUUCCGCAAUGGGCGAAAGCCUGACGGAGCAACGCCGCGUGAGUGAUGAAGGUCUUCGGAUCGUAAAACUCUGUUAUUAGGGAAGAACAAAUGUGUAAGUAACUAUGCACGUCUUGACGGUACCUAAUCAGAAAGCCACGGCUAACUACGUG